UGACAACCACCGUAAAACAACGAGCUGCCAGGAAGAAGAACGGCGCGUGAUCAUCAUGGCUGCUUAUCAGCAUCAGCCGCCCAUGGGCCCGUUGCCCAUCCAGCAGCACCAUGCUCCUCCUGCUUUGUCUGGCUGCAAGAUCCUCUCAUCAGUGUAACUCUUGAGCUCCAGACAUUCCUCAACAUCUGUCUGCAACAAACGCACAACACACAGUAUAUUGUGAUUUAGAAGAAGACACAAUAUCUGCAAUUUAAACCCCUAGAGAGAAUGGAUGAAAACAUGCGAUUUUCCUUGAUCAUACGUACAAUAAUUUGCAAUUCAUAAUUCGAUUAACCCUGCAUGAAUUUACCUGCUAUCACUCUCAAAUUAAUACACAUUUUAAUUCACUAUACUUACAGUGUACAACAAAUACAUCCUAGUUGUUAAUAUUUUCUGUUUCUUAUCUAGAAUAAAAGAUUAUUUAUUUGUGAGGCAAUGACAUUGUAAACCUUGUUCAAGAGUAAUUUGUGUUACUAGAAGGUACACAGAUAUUAACUACUCGGGAGGGGAAAUAAAGAUUGUAGAUGGGGGGUGUUGUCUAGACUCUCAAAUGGGUUAAUGUUUGGGGUAGUUGUCUUGUAAGAAAAUAAAUAUUCCAAAUGACUGUUUUACAGGCUGAAGCAGAUCUUCCUCCAGGAUCUCUCAUGCAUUUAGUUGAACCUCACCCACUUCGCAAACCCUUAGGGCCUGAUAGUGCUGCAACCACUGGGCUUCAUGGAGUGGAUGGUGUGCUUCUGUUAAUGUGCAUUGUUUUGCUUACACCAAAUAUUGCAUUUAGUAUAAUGAGCUAUAAAGUUUGCAGUAGGUGUUGUGGUGGCCUGCCACACAGGUGCCCCCCUCUCUGUCUGACUCAAAAUGUUUUGAGGAAGGCCUGCUCAAAUACAAUUUUCAGCAUUGCAAUUUGAUCACCUCAUGUCAAGGGUUAUUUAUUGCCCUGAGAAUUUUGUUCUGUCAUUCCCCUGACUCAUGUAAUGGUUUUAAAUAUUUCAGAUAGGGUAUUAUUUAAGGUAAAAUCACUUUAGUCACACCUUGAUUACACACAGAUGACCUCCAUUCAGCUUAAUUAUGUGACUCCCAAAAAAGAAUUGUCCACACAUUGUUAAGGUAUGUUAAGACAGUGGACACUUGUGAAUUUUGUUUGUUUAUAUUUUUAUAGUUAUAUUUUGAUAUUAAAGGAUAUUGUUUUUGUGUUGUUCUGGUUGGAUUUACAUCCACUGUGUCAGUGACAUAAAUCAUGGAGGGAAGGUUUACCUUACAAAUGUAUUAAUUAAUGUUAAAAUGGGGUCACACUUGUAUUUUAUGAUUUAUCAUGUAGGCUAUGAUUAUUUUUUAUGUAGCCAGAGACAGCUUGCUGAAGACCGUAACGUUGCUGUAUUUCUCUUAAAUAUUACGUGUUAUUCCCAUACUUUUUGUAUAUUUUAUUUUUCUGUCAAUUAACACGCAGUAGCCUGUUUUCCAGCAGCAGCACCAGCUUCACGGCAGCCUAGCAACGCGCAAGUUUGUGGUGUGAGUGGUGAUUGUCAGUUCGGACGCUCAUACUUUGAUCAACAGACAAGAAACAGUUGUGCGUUUCUUGCUAGCAUUAUUUUAACCCGGUUUUGAACGCGAAUUCAGACGCUCAGAACUGACAACCGGAGCUCUCCUAAACCACUUUGAAAUAAGUUGUUGGGUUUAAGAUGUUCAUCUGGGUUUGUAUUUUAGUUUGCGCUUCGGUCGGUCGCUUUGUAACCGUUGGAGGACCGAUGCCAGGCCAGCCACAGGAAGCCCCAGUAAACUCCAACAGUGUUUGGACGGCAGCACUGUUUGCUGCAUUCAAUAGAAACAACACAGACCUGUUUGCUUACAAAAUGCUGAACAUAACAUCAGCAAAAACUCAGGUGGUCAGUGGAA